rnacentral:rRNA from 1 species
UACGAAGGGGGCUAGCGUUGUUCGGAAUUACUGGGCGUAAAGCGCGCGCAGGCGGUCUUCCAAGUCAGUGGUGAAAGCCCGGAGCUCAACUCCGGAACUGCCAUUGAAACUGUUAGACUUGAGGAUGGGAGAGGAUGAGGGAAUUCCUGGUGUAGCGGUGAAAUGCGUAGAUAUCAGGAGGAACACCGGUGGCGAAGGCGCUCAUCUGGCCCAAUACUGACGCUGAGGCGCGAAAGCGUGGGGAGCGAACAGG